AGGACGAACGCUGGCGGCGUGCUUAACACAUGCAAGUCGAACGGAAAGGCCCUGCUUUUGUGGGGUGCUCGAGUGGCGAACGGGUGAGUAACACGUGAGUAACCUGCCCUUGACUUUGGGAUAACUUCAGGAAACUGGGGCUAAUACCGGAUAGGAGCUCCUGCUGCAUGGUGGGGGUUGGAAAGUUUCGGCGGUUGGGGAUGGACUCGCGGCUUAUCAGCUUGUUGGUGGGUAGUGGCUUACCAAGGCUUUGGACGGGUAGCCGGCCUGAGAGGGUGACCGGCCACAUUGGACUGAGAUACGGCCCAGACUCCGUACGGGAGGCAGCAGUGGGAAUAUUGCACAAUGGGCGAAGCCUGAUGCAGCAACGCGAGUGCGGGAUCGGACGGCCGUUCGGGUUACGUAAACCGGUCUUUCCGGCCGUGUAGGACGAACGUCGGUAGU
rnacentral:rRNA from 1 species